rnacentral:tRNA from 1 species
GAGGGUAUAGCUCAGUGGUAGAGUGUGUGCUUAGCACGCCCGAGGUCUGGCUUCAAUCUCCAGUACCUCCA